UAGAACAGUUUCCUUGAAAAAUAUCAAGGAAAGAAGCAUCAAAAGAUAAUGGAUUUCUCCAUUAAGAGAAGAACGAACUUGAAUAAGAUUUAGUUCGUUGUAUGUUAUCUAUUACCAUAUAUAGGAUAUAUACUUCUAAAACAAUAUGAUUGUCUAUUAGAAGAUCUUCCAAAAUUUUCAUGACUCCAUAAGAUGUAGUUGGAAAGAAAGACAAAUCUCAAGCAUGUUAAGAUUUGGGGUUGUGUGCUAAUAAGCAAUAUUUGUUUGAUAACAAUCUUGUGGGAUAUCCUUAAAUUAACUUUUGGAUAUCGCUUCUAUAAACCAACUAACAAAUGUUGUUUUGUUGGGUAGUUCAUUGUAAUCUUACAAUAUGAUUUGCCUAAGUGCAAAUGAAUGAGAGAUAGAACUCAAAGAAUGGGUUCUUUGAGAGACAAGAUAAUAAUCAACAAAUAUAACAACCUAGUUCCUAUACCACAAAGCUCCAAGGUAGUCGAGAAGGAUUUAUAAACCGUCUCAGUUGAAUGGUUUGAACUUU
rnacentral:lncRNA from 1 species